UACGUAGGGGGCAAGCGUUGUCCGGAUUUAUUGGACGUAAAGAGCGUGUAGGCGGCCAUACAGGUCAGCUGUGAAACUCGAGGCUCAACCUCGAGACGUCGGUUGAAACCGUUUGGCUAGAGUCCGGAAGAGGAGAGUGGAAUUCCCGGUGUAGCGGUGAAAUGCGCAGAUAUCGGGAAGAACACCCGUGGCGAAGGCGGGCUCUCUGGGACGGUACUGACGCUGAGACGCGAAAGCGUGGGGAGCGAACAGG
rnacentral:rRNA from 1 species